CAUAGUUGAAUGAAGGCUCAGGCGGAGAGGAUCACUUUUCAAAGAUUGUAAAAGAAGUUACGUGGAUAGUGUGUGUUAUGCAGCAAGGAAAGGAAUGGAAAAUCAGAAGACGUGUUUAGAUCACACAAACCAGAGGUGAAAGCUGAAUCUGAGAGGCUUCUGUUUCCAGCAAUAAGGCCAAUAAUACCCCAAGCUCCUGACUGAAACCAAACACUCUGGAGGGACACUCUCACAUGCAGGCCAGAAGGAAUUUGAAUAGAAGGAAACAGGCUAAAGAAGAGAGCUCAUGGCAAAAAUUACAAACCAUACAAGGAAGGCAUUCACCACAGUGAGAUAGAGACGAGGUUUCACCGUAUUAGCCAGGAUGGUCUCGAUCUCCUGACCUCGUGAUCCGCCCGCCUCGGCCUCCCAAAGUGCUGGGAUUACAGGCGUGAGCCACCGCGCCCGGCCUAGAAUCUGCUUUUUAACAACAUAAUUCAAGUUUGAGAAGCUCUGCUAAAAAAAAAAAAAAGCAACAAAAAAGAUGCCCUUCCUUACCUGUUCAGGUACGUGGUUUCUUCAAAUGUUCCUGUGUCUUCCCUAAAUACAAACCUACUUUCUCUGCUGGAUCCUCUCAACCACAUCUAAACAUUUAAAUCUCUCCCAUUCUAAAUCAACAUUCAAGCCAUUUUUAAAAACUGCCCUAUAACCUCUUAUCUCCAGGUAGUGAAUGAUUUAUGCUCUUUUCCUCUACAAAGCCAAACAUCUUCAAAGACUUUCUUAUAUUCUAUUUCUAUUUUGCUUCCUUUAUUUCUCAACACACUUUUAAAAGAGAUCAUUAGCUGUUGUCCCCUAUCAAGUCUUCCUCUUUUUCAUGGUAAUAAUACCCUAGCAUUUAGCCAGGCACCUGACUGUAAAGACGCUAAAGACUGUAAAGGCACUUGAGUAAAUAUCAUUUUCUAGCUUCCCUUCCAGUUCUGUGUGCCCAUGUUUCUAGGUUCUGAUUGUUGGGAUGCUAAUGGAAAUGAUAUGUGUAUCUUCUGAGAAAUUAUCUUAAAUGGAGAGAGUAUAACCUUCUUGUUUCUUACCUCUUUUCUUCUGGUGCAAUGUGGAUGAAAUGCUCAAAUGCCACCAGCCAACAUGGACCAUAAAUUAAAUUUGGAAUGGAAGCCACACAUGACAUGGGAACAAGAUGGAAAACUUUAGGUUAUCAUUGGGAUUUCCUGGCUUUUCCAAUCAACCUAUGGCCUCUAACAAGCUCACAAAACAGCAGGCUGAAGCUAUGUUCAUCUAAAAGCAAAACAUUUGGUCAAUUAAACCAAUUUAAUAAAAAAACUGAAUUUAUUGGAA